rnacentral:lncRNA from 1 species
UGGGUUCAUCCUUGUCGUAGCAUCCUUCCUUAAUGGAUGAGUGACCUUCUGCUGUGUGGAUCACCUCAUUGUGCCUGUCCAUUCAUCUGCUGAUAGACACUGGGUUAUUCUCACCUUUGACUUGAAUCUUGCUGCUGUGAACACUGAUGUACAAGCAGAUAUCCCAGUCCCUGCUUUCAGCUUGAGUAAACUCCUCCAGGUAAACAGGCUGAGCCCGAUAGUAGUUAUGACUAACUUUGUGAGGAAUGACCAAACAUGGUAGCACCAUUUCACCUUCCCAUCAGCCAUGUAUGAG